GAUGAACGCUGGCGGCGUGCCUAAUGCAUGCAAGUCGAGCGAAUGGAUUAAGAGCUUGCUCUUAUGAAGUUAGCGGCGGACGGGUGAGUAACACGUGGGUAACCUGCCCAUAAGACUGGGAUGACUCCGGGAAACCGGGGCUAAUACCGGAUAACAUUUUGAACCGCAUGGUUCGAAAUUGAAAGGCGGCUUCGGCUGUCACUUAUGGAUGGACCCGCGUCGCAUUAGCUAGUUGGUGAGGUAACGGCUCACCAAGGCAACGAUGCGUAGCCGACCUGAGAGGGUGAUCGGCCACACUGGGACUGAGACACGGCCCAGACUCCUACGGGAGGCAGCAGUAGGGAAUCUUCCGCAAUGGACGAAAGUCUGACGGAGCAACGCCGCGUGAGUGAUGAAGGCUUUCGGGUCGUAAAACUCUGUUGUUAGGGAAGAACAAGUGCUAGUUGAAUAAGCUGACACCUUGACGGUACCUAACCAGAAGGCCACGGCUAACUACGUGCCAGCCGCCGCCGCCG
rnacentral:rRNA from 1 species